GUACGAUGAACUGGCUUCUAAAUACUCCGUUGACUACAUUGCUGGAGGUGCAACUCAAAAUUCAAUCAGGGUAGCCCAGUGGAUGCUUCAAAUUCCUGGAGCAACUAGUUACAUCGGGUGUAUUGGAAAGGAUAAGUUUGGGGAAGAGAUGAAAAAGAACUCCAAACUUGCUGGUGUUAACGUUCAAUAUUACGAGGAUGAGACUGCACCAACGGGUACAUGUGCUGUUUGUGUGGUGG